rnacentral:rRNA from 1 species
GUGGGGAAUAUUGCACAAUGGGCGAAAGCCUGAUGCAGCGACGCCGCGUGAGCGAAGAAGUAUUUCGGUAUGUAAAGCUCUAUCAGAAGGGAAGAAAAUGACGGUACCUUACUAAGAAGCUCCGGCUAAAUACGUGCCAGCAGCCGCGGUAAUACGUAUGGAGCAAGCGUUAUCCGGAUUUACUGGGUGUAAAGGGAGUGUAGGCGGCACUAUAAGUCUGAUGUGAAAACCUAAGGCUUAACCAUAGGAUUGCAUUGGAAACUGUAGAGCUGGAGUAUCGGAGAGGCAAGCGGAAUUCCUGGUGUAGUGGUGAAAUACGUAGAUAUCAGGAAGAACAUCGGUGGCGAAGGCGGCUUGCUGGACGAUAACUGACGCUAAGGCUCGAAAGCGUGGGAAGCGA